rnacentral:lncRNA from 1 species
UUGGGAGUAAAGGGACGGCCUCAGUGGAGGGUACUCUAUCCCAGAGCAUACUCCGGUCGCAUAAGAACUGGUUCAUUGGGCGAGCUUUCUUGUGAACCAUAUAGCCAUACAUGCCAAAAAGGUACAGCCUUCGGGAGUGCCUGUUUAUAUGAGGCCUUGGUUCAAACCCCGCUAGCUGAACCUAGUCAUCCAUUCCAAGGGGCCAAGGUAGGCAACGGAUAUGCUGGAGCAGGACCUUCGCAUAGUCCCAG